CUGCCCAUAAGAGGGGGAUAACAUCCGGAAACGGGUGCUAAUACCGCAUAGUUUUCUUGAUCGCAUGAUCGAGAAAGGAAAGACGGCCUUUGUGCUGUCGCUUAUGGAUGGACCCGCGGCGUAUUAGUUAGUUGGUGAGGUAACGGCUCACCAAGACGAUGAUACGUAGCCGACCUGAGAGGGUGAUCGGCCACAUUGGGACUGAGACACGGCCCAAACUCNUACGGGAGGCAGCAGUAGGGAAUCUUCCGCAAUGGACGAAAGUCUGACGGAGCAACGCCGCGUGAGUGAAGAAGGUUUUCGGAUCGUAAAACUCUGUUGUCAGANAAGAACAAGUNGGAGAGUAACUGCUCCGGCCUUGACGGUAUCUGACCAGAAAGCCACGGCUAACUACGUGCCAGCAGCCGCGGGAAAUACGU
rnacentral:rRNA from 1 species